UCCACCUUCUCGCGUCGCCCGUUUUCACAGUAAUCUCUGCCUCCUCUUUUAAUCGCCUCGCCCGUUUUCAUUCCUCCUCUGCGACCUGCUGAUCGCCUCCGAUCCUCUGCCUCCUCUUUACCGGUAUCGUAUUUAUGUGUUGGUUUUUGGUGAAAACAGGGAGGGAGCAGUGGUAGAGCCAUGCCUUUUGUUCAUUGUUUCUCAUAUUAUUUCUCAAUUCGGUGGUCACUAAUCUGCUUUUUCGUUCAUUCUUCUCAAGUCCUCUGCAAUCUCUCAUCUUCCAUCGGUUUAUUCUGCUUUAAUGGACACUGGCCUUUUUCAAUUGCUAUCAGUUGUCGCUUCUCUCCUCUGCAAUUGCAGUGCAACUUUCUCUUCCUCUAGGGUUUGGCCGCACAAAAUCUUCAACUCUGCAACUCUUUGAUCGUUCUCCUGGGAUUAUGUUCUUCCUCCUGAUCCCAAUUUUCGUUUGUUUUAGGCCCCAAGGCUUCUCAUUUUCGUUAGUUUUUGGAUUGAUGAUGUACGUGCCAGAGAUUGAUGCAGAUGGGGCUUCCAUGGCAGGUGGAGCGGAGGAUGGGAGAUUGAGAAAGAUGGAGAAACAGUGAAGCUGAAAUCCCCAGAAACAAUUAUAACAGGAACUUCAUUUGAUUAUUUCAUUGGUUGGAGCCUCCUCACACUGCCUUUUCAAAUUCCAUUUGGCUUAUGGAUAUGGUGCUCCAGAAUCUUAAAUCUUUCCAUGAU